rnacentral:rRNA from 1 species
GGUAGCACAGAGAGCUUGCUCUCGGGUGACGAGGGGCGGACGGGUGAGUAAUGUCUGGGAAACUGCCUGAUGGAGGGGGAUAACUACUGGAAACGGUAGCUAAUACCGCAUAACGUCGCAAGACCAAAGUGGGGGACCUUCGGGCCUCAUGCCAUCAGAUGUGCCCAGAUGGGAUUAGCUGGUAGGUGAGGUAACGGCUCACCUAGGCGACGAUCCCUAGCUGGUCUGAGAGGAUGACCAGCCACACUGGAACUGAGACACGGUCCAGACUCCUACGGGAGGCAGCAGUGGGGAAUAUUGCACAAUGGGCGCAAGCCUGAUGCAGCCAUGCCGCGUGUAUGAAGAAGGCCUUCGGGUUGUAAAGUACUUUCAGCGAGGAGGAAGGCGAUAAGGUUAAUAACCUUGUCGAUUGACGUUACUCGCAGAAGAAGCACCGGCUAACUCCGUGCCAGCAGCCGCGGUAAUACGGAGGGUGCAAGCGUUAAUCGGAAUUACUGGGCGUAAAGCGCACGCAGGCGGUCUGUCAAGUCGGAUGUGAAAUCCCCGGGCUCAACCUGGGAACUGCAUCCGAAACUGGCAGGCUAGAGUCUUGUAGAGGGGGGUAGAAUUCCAGGUGUAGCGGUGAAAUGCGUAGAGAUCUGGAGGAAUACC